rnacentral:rRNA from 1 species
UGGGGAAUAUUGCACAAUGGGCGCAAGCCUGAUGCAGCCAUGCCGCGUGUAUGAAGAAGGCCUUCGGGUUGUAAAGUACUUUCAGCGGGGAGGAAGGGAGUAAAGUUAAUACCUUUGCUCAUUGACGUUACCCGCAGAAGAAGCACCGGCUAACUCCGUGCCAGCAGCCGCGGUAAUACGGAGGGUGCAAGCGUUAAUCGGAAUUACUGGGCGUAAAGCGCACGCAGGCGGUUUGUUAAGUCAGAUGUGAAAUCCCCGGGCUCAACCUGGGAACUGCAUCUGAUACUGGUCAGCUAGAAUCUUGUAGAGGGGGGUAGAAUUCCAUGUGUAGCGGUGAAAUGCGUAGAGAUGUGGAGGAAUACCGGUGGCGAAGGCGGCCCCCUGGACAAAGACUGACGCUCAGGUGCGAAAGCGUGGGGAGCAAACAGG